CCGUCCCCGCUCGGUCGCCACUCACUCCCGCGGCUCUCGCGUGUGUUGCUACUUCGCCGUGUAUACACGCACACAGUAUUAUUUUCUCUCCGUUCUCCUUCUUCCCACUGUUAGCGCACCCCGCGCUAACCCGAGAGACGGGGAAAAUCUCGUAUGAAGAGAGGGCGCGCAAGUAAUGCCGGUGAACCAAUUAUUAUUCUGGCACCUCCUUGUACGAGAAACGAGAUGCCUUGCAACACUAAACAUUGAACAAGAAAACCCGUUACAUCCCAACGAGGCAAGCUUGCACAUCAUCCGCAUAAAAACAAGUGGAUUAUUAUGAUGAAAUUACAAAUUUUACCGGUUCCAACUGAAAGGUUAUUAUUGGUCUUCUUGCGAAAGAAUUCUCAUUCGGAAUUUAUUUGAAAAGGAAAUAUUUCGGAGAAUUUACCAAAGUUUGGUCAACGCGAAGUUUGGCUAUGCUCCGGUCUUCCGAAUCACGCGAUUCAACCGGAAGUUAGCGUUCCUGGAACUCGUCAAAAUUCUUGCGCACUGUAAUACACUUGUGUUCUCUAAUUACUGAAAACUUUGAUAACUUAUUGUUACGAGGAGAAUUUAGUUGGAGAUAAUUGAACGGCUUCCUGCAAUA